rnacentral:ncRNA from 1 species
AAGCGUUGGAGAGAGUGUGAAAAACCACCGCCGAAGGAGCAAGCCAAAAGGUGAAUCUCUCAGGCAAAAGGACAAUGC